CUACCCUAAAGACGAGGAUAACCAUUGGAAACAGUGGCUAAGACUGGAUAGGAAGAUAAAAGGCAUCUUUUAUCUUUUAAAAGACCUAGUAAUAGGUAUGCUUUAGGAGGGGCUUGCGCCAUAUUAGUUAGUUGGUAGGGUAAUGGCCUACCAAGACGAUGAUGUGUAGCUGGACUGAGAGGUUGAACAGCCACAUUGGGACUGAGACACGGCCCAAACUCCUACGGGAGGCAGCAGUAGGGAAUUUUCGGCAAUGGAGGAAACUCUGACCGAGCAACGCCGCGUGAAUGACGAAGUACUUCGGUAUGUAAAGUUCUUUUAUCAAGGAAGAAAAGCAAAUGGCGAACCAUUUGUUUGCCGGUACUUGAUGAAUAAGCCCCGGCUAAUUAUGUGCCAGCAGCCGCGGUAAGACAUAAGGGGCAAGUGUUAUCCGGAAUUAUUGGGCGUAAAGGGUGCGUAGGCGGUCUAGUAAGUCAGUGGUGUAAUGGCAACGCUUAACGUUGUCCGGCUAUUGAAACUGCUAAACUUGAGUUAGAUAGAGGCGAGUGGAAUUCCAUGUGUAGCGGUAAAAUGCGUAAAUAUAUGGAGGAACACCAGAGGCGUAGGCGGCUCGCUGGGUCUUAACUGACGCUGAGGCACGAAAGCGUGGGGAGCAAACAGGAUUAGAUACCCUGGUAGUCCACGCCGUAAACGAUGAGUACUAAGUGUCGGGUUAAACCGGUACUGAAGUUAACACAUUAAGUACUCCGCCUGAGUAGUACGUACGCAAGUAUGAAACUUAAAGGAAUUGACGGGACUCCGCACAAGCGGUGGAUCAUGUUGUUUAAUUCGAAGAUACCCGAAAAACCUUACCAGGUCUUGACAUGUUUUUGCAAAAUGAUAGUAAUAUCGUGGAGGUUACCAGAAACACAGGUGGUGCAUGGUUGUCGUCAGCUCGUGUCGUGAGAUGUUAGGUUAAGUCCUAAAACGAGCGAAACCCUUAUCGUUAGUUGCCAGCACGUUAUGGUGGGGACUUUAACGAGACUGCCAAUGAUAAAUUGGAGGAAGGUGAGGAUCACGUCAAAUCAGCAUGCCCCUUAUGACCUGGGCUACAAACGUGAUACAAUGGCUGUUACAAAGGGUAGCUGAAACGCAAGUUCUUGGCCAAUCCCCAAAAACAGUCCCAGUCCGGAUUGAAGUCUGCAACUCGACUUCAUGAAGUUGGAAUCGCUAGUAAUCGCGAAUCAGCAUGUCGCGGUGAAUACGUUCUCGGGGUUUGUACACACCGCCCGUCAAACCACGAAAGUUGGCAAUACCCCAAAACGGUAGCCUAACUCGUUUAUUCRAGAGGGCGCCGUCUAAGGUAGGGUCGAUGAUUGGGGUUAAGUCGUAACAAGGUAUCCCUACCGGAAGGUGGGGAUGGAUCACCUCCUUUCU
rnacentral:rRNA from 1 species